CGAACCGGAACUGCUCCCGGUCCACAUCGAUGGAGUUGAGGAGUUUCUCAGAGGCAUUCUUGCUGUCAAUGAACUGCCCUUCUGGGAUGGCACUGGCGUUAAGGAUCCGGUACCUAGGGAGAAGGGACGAUGGUUUUGACUUCUCAGGAUAGCCUUGUACCUGAGACCAGACCUUCUAGAACCUUCUCUCCAGUCUUAAGACCUGUAGGAACAAAUGAAGACAUAUGCACAUAGAAAGAACACCAGGGGAAGACAAAGGCGGAGUAACCUAGGAACAGAGGCCCAAUAACAUGGAAAAUAGCCUACAAACCAUGGAAGCUGGCAAAGCAGGCUUUCUUAGAGUCAAAAGGGCGAUUCUGAGCCUCGAUCCUCUCCUUCUCUGGCUUUCGGAGGUAGGGAGCAGCUUCUCCAAAAAUGGCCAUCUCAGCGUCUGAA